rnacentral:rRNA from 1 species
AUGUACCAGAAACACAGGUUAGGUACCCUGGGUAUUGAAUGGCGACCUCCCUCGGUAAAUUUUGCUGUUGGGCCCACUUACCAUGCAACCACUGGCGAGUACCAAAUCAUCUCAGUUAUUGAUCCAGAUAGGUGGGAACCACUUCCAGAGAUAACAGACUUCAUCGAGCUUGAACCAGAAAAUGAAGCGAUCUCUGAUGAUACUGAUUCCGAGUACAAUGGCAUGGAUGACUAUUCUAGUGAAGGAGAACAGGACAUUUGGGGUGGUCAUGCUUCUGGUGCUUCAUACUCAAGUGCAGAGAUUGAUGGAUCUAAUCUUAACAGUACUGCUAAUCUCCGCAGAUCUAGAAGAAAGAAGAAAAGAUCUGAUGCUGAUUUUGUUACUUCAUCUGAUCGGCGAGUUAAGAAAAGAAAUUUGGAUGGGCAUGGUGUGGCUACACCGUCGAGGCCACAUAGAGGUAGGAAGUCUAAGACUGGCCGUGCUACCAAAAGGAAAAUAUCUCCUAAAUCUAGGAGAUUGCGACCUCAAAGACGUGCUACUCACAGCACACACAGUUUUUUCUCGAAGAUUGAAACUUCAACAGAAGAGGAAGAUGGAUCAGCGAGCAGUCUUUCAGACAACGAACUGAACACAGAAAGCACUGAAGCUGAGCAGUCAGCGUGGCAUGGCCUGCCAAGACUUGGUAGAGAGACCAACCAAUAUGAUUCCGAAUAUGUUACCCCUUCUCAGUUCACUGAAACCAAGGGAAAAAAUUCUGCAAAUAGUAGAAAACUGAUUCUGAGGAUACCACGCCGUGAUCUAAAAGUUCAGUUUCCUUCAGAAAGUGCAAAUCCAGAACUCCCACCUCAUUAUGCAGUGCUGUCACUUCCAGCAGCCAGAUACAAAGACGCUGAGCUGGAACUAGCUUUUGAGCCUGGAAACUCCUCUGCUUGCAAGUCUGAAUCACCUCUGGUCUCUGUUCUACAUGACGCGGGUACUGUUCACAGUAAUGACACAAUCAAAGGGGGUGAGCUUAAGCUGCGACCUUCAAAGCAUUGCAAGUUCGGGGACUCUUCUUCAGGAGACAUGUGGGUCUCUUCAAAUAAUGCACUUUCACAUGACGUUUAUGGGUCUGGUUGUCAGAAAACACCUAAUCAAUAUGAUAAUGGCGUCCAACAAAGGGUUGAGCAGAAUGUACAGAAAAGACAACGUGCAAUUUAUCUGGAUAGCAUCCAUGAAAACCACAAUACUGAUGAUUAUCGUGAAGGUAAUUUGCCUGGUAAAGAAUGGAUAACUGACAACAAGAAUACUCAUCUAGAGGAAGAAAAUAACAGGGAACACGGUCAGCAGUUCCACAGCACUCGGUCUAUAUCCUUUAAACUGAAGUUGUCCAGACCAAGAGGCUUUGCAGAUGGAGCAAGUUCAUCAGACAUAUCGAAGACUAGUGCAGUAGGGAGUGACAUCAACCAUGUUAAAGUUUCCAUGCAGCAUGAUGAGGUUUCUGCCACCAGUCAACAUAGGAGUAGUGACUUCACUAGUGUGUCCAGACGUUUCCAGGACUUUGAAUCUGCGAACACAUACGGCACAGUGUGCAAAAGGUCAGAGCCAAGUAAGCACAGGAAAAGAUUGGGUUCGGAUGCCUUUGGAAAUGGACAUAGUACUUCUGUUUCCAAUGAUGAUGGUGGGCAUCAACCUCUAGACUGCAGUCCUGUUGCACUUACUGGUAGUUUACGAAGAAACGAAAGGAGGUCAUGUGCAUACACUGAUUAUGGUAGAGAAAGGGAUGCAAUCUCUCAUGUGCAAAGUUCUUCCCUCGAAGCAGCAAUUAGUGGGAGACGAAUUGUUGCAAAUGUGCGUGAAGUAAUGUGGGGAUCAACAUCAAAGAAUGCUGGUAUAAAGUCUUGUAUGAACAAAGAGAGUUGCAACUUUCCUGAUACACAUCUAUUGGAGAAAAAGCACCAAGUAUCGAGGCCGUGGUUGAUGUUGCUAGAGCAUGAAGAUAUCUACCGUUAUAUUCCUCAACUUGGCGAUGAGGUUAUGUACUUGCGACAGGGCCAUGAAGAAUAUGUUUAUAAAGUGCAAUCAUCGGAUAAUUGCCCAUUGAAUCGGAUCAGAGGCCUUAAAGCUGCCGAGCUUUGCAAAAUUAAGGGUCUUGAUUACAAGCCAGAUAGAGGGUCUGGGGAAAGCUGCUGUGAAUUAACUAUUAAAUUCAUUGAUCACACUUCAAGCGGAUUUGGCAAAGAGUUUGUAAUCACAUUGCGUGAGCUAGUUACGUUCCCUGAUUUUCUUGUGGAAAGAACACGGUUUGAAGCUACUACCACGUAUAACUGGAGCAUCGCUGAUAGGUGCAAAGUUUGGUGGAUGGAUGAGGGAGAGGAUGGAGGAAGUUGGUGGGAGGGAUGA